rnacentral:rRNA from 1 species
UCCAGACUCCUACGGGAGGCAGUGGGGGAUAUUGCACAAUGGGGGGAACCCUGAUGCAGCGACGCCGCGUGGGUGAAGGAGUGCUUCGGCAUGUAAAGCCCUAUCGGCAGGGAAGAAGCAAGACGGUACCUGACUAAGAAGCCCCGGCUAACUACGUGCCAGCAGCCGCGGUAAUACGUAGGGGGCAAGCGUUAUCCGGAUUUACUGGGUGUAAAGGGAGCGUAGACGGCAGAGCAAGUCUGAAGUGAAAGCCCGCGGCCCAACUGCGGGACUGCUUUGGAAACUGCCCGGCUAGAGUGCUGGAGAGGUAAGCGGAAUUCCUAGUGUAGCGGUGAAAUGCGUAGAUAUUAGGAGGAACACCAGUGGCGAAGGCGGCUUACUGGACAGUAACUGACGUUGAGGCUCGAAAGCGUGGGGAGCAAACAGGAUUAGAUACCCUAGUACC